rnacentral:rRNA from 1 species
GACGAACGCUGGCGGCGUGCUUAACACAUGCAAGUCGAACGGAAAGGCCCUGCUUUUGUGGGGUGCUCGAGUGGCGAACGGGUGAGUAACACGUGAGUAACCUGCCCUUGACUUUGGUAUAACUUCAGGAAACUGGGGCUAAUACCGGAUAGGAGCUCCUGCUGCAUGGUGGGGGUUGGAAAGUUUCGGCGGUUGGGGAUGGACUCGCGGCUUAUCAGCUUGUUGGUGGGGUAGUUGCUUACCAAGGCUUUGACGGGUAGCCGGCCUGAGAGGGUGACCGGCCACAGUGGGACUGAGAUACGGACCAGACUGCAACGGGAGGCAGCAGUGGGGAGUAUUGCACAAUGGGCGGAAGCCUGAUGCAGCAACGCCGCGUGCGGGAUGACGGCCUUCGGGUUAUAAACCGCUUUCGCCUGUGACGAAGCGUGAGUGACGGUAAUGGGUAAAGAAGCACCGGCUAACUACGUG